UUAAAUUGAGAGUUUGAUCCUGGCUCAGGAUGAACGCUGGCGGCGUGCUUAACACAUGCAAGUCGAGCGAUGAAGUUUCCUUCGGGAAACGGAUUAGCGGCGGACGGGUGAGUAACACGUGGGUAACCUGCCUCAUAGAGUGGAAUAGCCUUCCGAAAGGGAGAUUAAUACCGCAUAAUGUUGAAAGAUGGCAUCAUCAUUCAACCAAAGGAGCAAUCCGCUAUGAGAUGGACCCGCGGCGCAUUAGCUAGUUGGUGGGGUAACGGCCUACCAAGGCGACGAUGCGUAGCCGACCUGAGAGGGUGAUCGGCCACAUUGGGACUGAGACACGGCCCAGACUCCUACGGGAGGCAGCAGUGGGGAAUAUUGCACAAUGGGGGAAACCCUGAUGCAGCAACGCCGCGUGAGUGAUGAAGGUUUUCGGAUCGUAAAGCU
rnacentral:rRNA from 1 species